rnacentral:lncRNA from 1 species
GAAAAAAAAAAGUUAAGUUUGAUUAAUCUGGUUUUAACCAAUUUGACCUGACCAACUCAAUUCUAAAGCUGAGGGAUACUUGGAACAAAAAUUAAAAAGCAAACCAAAAAUUGACCUUUUAAUUUCCUGGCCAAAAGGGAAAAAAAAAGUUAAUAAAGCAAAUCUGCUUAGGGAAAGAAUCUUUGCUCAGAUGGCAAAUUCAGUAUGUAGCAUGCCUGAGUGUUGCCCAUGAUGUUUAAACCUGGCUAUAAAUAAAAAUCAUCUGAUGUUGGGGGGUGGGGUAGGAGGAGGAUAACCUUGAGCAAAUAGCUUUAUAAAGACACUCUUAGCCAAGAUAUAAAAAUUGACAUUAAACAUGGGGAAGGAAUGAGAUAUGUCUGUCAGCAAUUCUCUUGGCCUUACGUUAGGUUUAUUUUGUUUUUGUUCCAUCUUUUUUUUUUCCUUACUCAGAAAGUGUAACAAAUGACUCUGGAUCCAUAUGGACCUGGUUUUGACUUUUCAUACUGUAAAUGCCUAGCUGAGUGAAGUUUGGCAAGUUCUCUUUUCUGACUCUCAGUUUUCUUAUCUAUAA